rnacentral:tRNA from 1 species
GGCAGAACUGUGGCUCGGUGACAGAGCAUCUGUUUAGCAUGCAGACGUUUCCAGGUUCAACACCUGGCAUCUCCA